rnacentral:lncRNA from 1 species
UUUAGACUAGUGUGUCAUGUCUAAAUUUUAUUUUUAUAUUUAUAGUGAUGUACAUGUUAGUAUAUUUUUAGAGACUUGUGUUGACGAUUCGUUCGAUUUAACAUGUACAUGUUAGAACCCCUUUGUGUUGAUAUUUUGUCGUAUGUGUUGUGACAUUAUAUUUUGUUAGAAUACUGUAGGGUAUACCUGAGCUAUAACCACCUGUGGGGGUACCACAGGCAUGUCCUCUU